GGCGAACGGGUGAGUAACACGUGGGUGAUCUGCCCUGCACUUCGGGAUAAGCCUGGGAAACUGGGUCUAAUACCGGAUAGGACUCCGGACUGCAUGGUCUGGGGUGGAAAGCUUUUGCGGUGUGGGAUGGGCCCGCGGCCUAUCAGCUUGUUGGUGGGGUGAUGGCCUACCAAGGCGACGACGGGUAGCCGGCCUGAGAGGGUGACCGGCCACACUGGGACUGAGAUACGGCCCAGACUCCUACGGGAGGCAGCAGUGGGGAAUAUUGCACAAUGGGCGCAAGCCUGAUGCAGCGACGCCGCGUGAGGGAUGACGGCCUUCGGGUUGUAAACCUCUUUCAGCAUCGACGAAGCGAAAGUGACGGUAGGUGCAGAAGAAGGACCGGCCAACUACGUGCCAGCAGCCGCGGUAAUACGUAGGGUCCGAGCGUUGUCCGGAAUUACUGGGCGUAAAGAGCUCGUAGGUGGUUUGUCGCGUUGUUCGUGAAAACCCACAACUCAAUUGUGGGCGUGCGGGCGAUACGGGCAGACUGGAGUACUGCAGGGGAGACUGGAAUUCCUGGUGUAGCGGUGGAAUGCGCAGAUAUCAGGAGGAACACCGGUGGCGAAGGCGGGUCUCUGGGCAGUAACUGACGCUGAGGAGCGAAAGCGUGGGGAGCGAACAGGAUUAGAUACCCUGGUAGUCCACGCCGU
rnacentral:rRNA from 1 species